rnacentral:rRNA from 1 species
AUGAGCAUGAAAGAAUCAGAAGGGGUCGGUGAAUUCGUGUUGAAGCUAACCUCUCUGGUUAAUGAGAUGCGAGCUCUCGGAUCAAAGAUGGAGGACAUCGCUAUUGUGGAGAAAUUACUACGAGCUGUUCCCGACAAGUUUUUACCGAUCGUUGGCACCAUAGAGCAGUGGGGAGAUGUGACAAAGAUGUCGGUGAUGGAGGUGAUCGGGCGGCUGAAGACCUAUGAGUUGACGUUGAAGGGGCGGGAACGUGACCAAGAAGAAGAGCAAUUGAUGUUCUCGCGUAGCAGGGAGAAAGAUAAGCAAAAGUACCGUAAGUUCGACAAAUCUAAAGUCCGUUGCUACAAUUGUGAGGACUAUGGACAUUAUUCUCGAGAGUAUCCUAAUCCGCGGAAGGAGGCAAAGAAGGAGCAUGGGACUCUCCAACUAGCUGAGGUGGGCAUGGAUGACGACCCAAGGUUGCUUUGA